GGGCACCCACAACACCGCAGGCUAGUGACAAGAGUCACCACCAGACUUGGGACCAGGAACACCUGCAGGGAGGUUGGCUGUUGGCGCGCACUUUUGUUGUGUGGGCGCUGCACGAGUUAGUUGUUGGGCAUGCGCGUGGAGGUGGGCGCAGCAAGGGGACAGCCCAACACAUCCGGGUACCGAGCAGCUGUAAGAGCUUAAGGGGCUGACAGCCAAAGCCCUAGCUAGCUGCGAGGACAGCGGUCUGGGCGCAUCCUGGCCCCAGGGCGUCCGUCUUCUGUGGCUUUGGCUUGGGCUGCUGGAGUGGAAGAGGAGGAGUGGAGCAGGCAGAUACCCUGGCAGAGUCUUUGGGAUUUUAGACUUGGACCUUGAAUGAUCAAAUCAUCUACAAGGUCUCCUACACCUCUCAAAAUGCCACUUCAUCCCACAUACCCUCAAGUUUCCCAAAGGAUAACUUCUAUUCAUCUGGAGUUGAGUCUCCAACUCAAGUGUUAUUCCUUAAGGAAAUUCUUCCUGGAUCCCAAAGUUUGAAUUAUAUACAUGUAUUAAUUUUCUACUGCUGCUGUAACACAUCACAACAAACUUCAUGGCCUAAAAGAGUAAAUAUAUAUAUACAUAUAUACAUAUGUAUAUAUAGUAAAUUUCUGUAAUUAAGAGGUCUGACACAGGUCUCAUUUGAGUAAAGUGAAGGCAUCUGUAAGACUCUGUUUCUUUCCGUUGGUUCUAUGGGAGGAUCCAUUCAUUCCCUUGCCUAUUUUAUCUUCAGGAGGCCAUCCACAUUACUUACUCUUGGACCCUUAUUUCUACCUUUAAAGGCUGGAAUGCUUUUCAGUUUGCAUCUCUCUGACUCUCCUUUCUCCUUCUGCUCUUAAGUGCUCAUGCAAUUAGGGUGGGUCCACCUGGAUAAUACAGAAUACUCCCAUCUUAAGUAAGAACAAUUGCUUAGCAAACUUAAUUGCAUGUGCAACCUUAAUUCCCUUUUGCCUGUAGUGUAACAUAUUCACAGGUUUUGAAGAGUAGGAUAUGAACAUUAUUGGGAAGCUUUUAUUCUGCCUACCACUGCACUAUCCAUUCAAUGAUGUCCCAUUCCAGUCCGCUUUAAUGCUAUGACAGCAUCUAUUUUUGUUUUCUUAUCUGUAUGUCAUAUGCAUAUACCCAAUCUCCACCCACUUUAGACUGUAAGCUUUUAUUAGAGUCAAUAUUAGACCUGUUUUCUCCAGAGAAUAGCACAAUUCCAAGGGAAAAUAUAGUCCUGGAAUGUAGUAGACUUUUGAUAAAUAUUGGUUGCACUUUGACAAAUGUCUGUGUACACAUGCAUGCAUGUAUGUGCACACCUGGAUUUGAGUCCAUCCUGAAAGUAAUUAUGUUCUGGGCAACUGGAAAUUACCAAGUAUACUACUACUGUUUUUAUAGGAGGUGACAAUGACUUCCAAAUAUAUAUCUUCUCUGAAUUACUGAUCAUAUAUCUCGCUUCCUUAUAUGUCCAUUUGGAUCUCAAAAUUAGCAUGCUAGUAAAAACCACCAGUUCCCUUCACUCCAUAAUGUGUUCUUCUUCCAUCUGUUUCUGAAUCAAGCAAUAGCACUACCAUAUAUGUAUAGAUCUAUUAUUGUCAUUCCUCUUACCCUUAACACUAUACCUGAUUCAUUAGAGGUAGAAAACGGUUUCUUUAAAAUAGGUUUUAAAUCUGUCUACAUUUCUAUUUUAAUCAACAUUUUUAAACUACCUCUUCCCUUACCAGGGUAACUCCGUAACUUUUGUGUUAUUUUGCUUAGUCUGCCUUAACAGAGCACAACAGACUUGGCGACUUAAAAAAAAAAACACAAAACAUAAAUGAAUUUUCUCACAGUUCUGGAGCAGGAAUGUCCAAGAUUGCAGUGCACACAGGGUUGGUUUCUGAUGUGUUCUCUUUUUCUGUCUUGCAGAUUGCUGCCUUCUCACUGUGUCCUCACAUGGCCUUUUUGCAUCCAUGAACCUUGUUUCUCUUCCUUGUCUUAUAUGGGUACCAGUCCUAUUGGAAUAGGGCUUCACUUUUUUUUACUUUAUUUAACCUUCAUUACCUCUUUAAAAACAUGUCUCCUAAUCAGUACCCUUGGCAGUUAAGAUUUCAACGUACAAAUUUGGGAUGAUAUAAUUCAGUCCAUAGCAACCUCAUACAAUUAUGGUUCCCUACUUCUAUUCUUACCCCACUACAGUCCAUUUACAACUUAGGAGAUAGGUGAUUUUCUUAAGACUUUAUUUCCAUGAUAGCAUUCCUCUGAUUAAGCCCUCUAGGCUUUUCAAUAACUCUUAGACUAAGUUUCCAAUAUUUUGAACUGGUCUGAAAAGUCCCUAUCAUCUGACCCCUGCCUAACUCUUUGGAUUACCUUGUAGUACUUAAUCCUUUAUUUAUAUCUGUAGCUCAUCCUGGCCUAGGUGCUUUGCAUUUGCUGCUCCUGGUCUCAGCUGCUUACAUAGAAUUUUUGGGUUUCAAGUCUCAUCUCAAAUUAUGACUGCUAUGAUUUUCCACCGUUGUGUAUAAAAUAGAUACCCUCCAACUAAAUGGAAGUCAUUGGAACUAUGUUUCAGGUGGUGCAUGAUUAAAUUUGUCUACAAGCUAAAGACUGGAUCAUAUGACCCUGACAGGGACUUUCCAACUUUAGAAUCAAAUGUUUUCAUAUUACUACCAAGAAAACAACUAUUUAUGAAUAGAUGUUUCUAUUCUGCUGAAAUACAUCCAAUCUAAGUAACAGAAGGUAAUUAGCAAAGAAUCUAAUCAGCAGCAUUGCUUUAGUGCCCAUCAUUAAAAAGCUUAACUGUUGUACCAUUUUUCUUUUCUGCUUUAUGAAGAACUCAUUUAUGUACCAUUUCAAUGCUAUUGUAAUUGUGAGUGAAUUUUAUGGGGGGAUUAAAUUACUGGCCUCAAUUUUACAACACAAACAUUACCUGCAGCCUUCUAUAACCCAGCCACAGGAUAAAAUAGAAAAAACGUAGAAGAAAAUCUAUCAUAAAAACACUGAUGCUGAAACUGAACUUUGAUGCUCAUUGGUUUGAUUGAUCUGAGGCACCACAUUAAGAUUUCAAGCCAUGUGUUAUAAAGUCUCCUUUUUAUUUCAUGACUAUUUUUUUUCUUGCAACUGAUUCUUAAUAGCUAUACGCUGGGGAGGACUCAUGCACCUAGACUGACUGACUAUUUGAAAGACACAAAAUGUCAAUUCGUAAAUAUUUGAGCAUUUGGUUGACAUCUCAUUUCAAGAAGAGAGUUGGCAAAAUUGCUCUCACUAAUGAAAAAAAACACAAAAACUCAAGUGAUUCAUA